rfam:Phaseolus vulgaris cultivar G19833 chromosome 10, whole genome shotgun sequence.
AAGCCAUGAUUAGGAAACCUUCUUAACAUCACUUUAAAAUGUUCCCAAGCUUCACAAAAAGGUUCAUCUGGCCCUUGCUUGAAUGUGGUGAUAUCAGACUUAGCCU